AAUGAACGUUGGCGGCGUGGAUUAGGCAUGCAAGUCGUGCGACAAGUCUCUUUUAGCUUGCUAUUAGAGAUGGAGGAGCGGCGCAAGGGUGAGUAACGCGUGGAUACCUGCCCCUGGGUCCGGGAUAGCGUCGGGAAACUGGCGGUAAUACCGGAUAAUAUCCCCGGAUCAAAGGUGUGAUUCCGCCUAGGGAUGGGUCCGCGUCCUAUUAGCUUGUUGGUGGGUAAUGGCCUACCAAGGCGAAGAUGGGUACCGGUGUGAGAGCAUGGCCCGGACACUGGGACUGAGACACUGCCCAGACACUACGGGUG
rnacentral:rRNA from 1 species